ensembl:lncRNA
AUGAGGACCAAGGAGGCCAAGAGCAUUUCAGGGCCAGCUGCAUGGUGGUUGGGAUGUGCUAAGGAGGACUUCCCAGAAAGGUUUGAAUCGGACUUCCAGACUGGUCUAUGUGUCCUUUGCUGCAUCGGAAGGACGUGGUCUGCAAACCGCUCAAUGUUGGGCUUUGCCGAGGGGCUUUCUCUUAUCUCCCACUCUCCUUCCUCAGAACAGAAUUCAGCUGGUUUCAAUGUGGGGAUUAACGUAACCCAAGUGAGCAAUCUACUCUUCUGCAUGGAGAAUACUCUCAGGUCUGUUGUUUAUCUGUCUUCCGCCUACCCUACCCUAAUCUUCGGAGCUUAAAAGGCUUACGAUUCUUCUUAGGCCCGGAAUCAUUCUUAUAAGGCAACUAUUGACGAGCUAAACAGGAAUGAUUUCAAAACUUAGUGUGAGAACUUGGGGCUCCGAUUCCACUGCCGUGCACCAGGCAGAAGAGAAAAGAGUCCUUACGGGUCUCCUCAGAUACUGUCUCGCCAGAGGGCCACUGUGACCCUCACACACACCAGCCCAGCCCUCCCCCUCCUCAUCUGAUGCAGCGGUGACAUCCAAGACUUCCUAUCAGCUCAGUUCUAAGUGCUACCUCAGCCUGAGAGGAAGCGCCCUUCCCCCACUGUCCUGCCCACUUGCAACUUACACAGAGGCAUCCCCCUGCAGCCCAGGACCUGUUUUUGCUGCAUUGUUUCAUUUCCUGCUCACAGCCCAAGGAGGAAAGUUUCUAGAUGAGGAAACAGGUUCAGAGAGGGGUAAAGCCCGCCCAAGAGCCAUCAGUCAUGAGGUACAGUAUCAGGAUUUUUUUUUUUUUCGAGACAGGGUUUCUCUGUGUAGCCCUGGCUGUCCUGGAACUCACUCUGUAGACCAGGCUGGCCUCGAACUCAGAAAUCCGCCUGCCUCUGCCUCCCGAGUGCUGGGAUUAAAGGCAUGCGUCACCAUGCCCAGCUCAAUAUCAGGAUUUCAUCUCAAGGCUCUGACUCAACAGUCUUCGCAUGGCCGGUUCCUAGCUUGACUAUCUCAGUAGGACAGAGGAAAGCCACGAGGCUACCAUGCCAAGCUGAGCUGAUUGAAGAAGGAAACCUUACGCAAAGGAGCCCCUGCCCCCUCCAUCGGUGCUGAUUUUGGAGGGAAACUGGAAUCACCGGUUUUGAGGAUGUAAAGUGUGGCUGCAGGCAGCAGCUUCCCAGAGACUCUCUCACGAUGCUGGGAAAACACGGUGCCUUCUUCCCUGGGAUUUUCAGUCUCAGUUAUGUGCAAGGCUAGGGUUGGCAUGAAGCAUAGAGAAGAGGCAUAGAAAUCAGGACAGAUACUGGGACUCACUCGUGUGAAUCUAUGGAUGCCCCCGCCCCCAGUUUAGGGGACAGCAAGGCCCCAGGCUGUCUACACUCUAAAUCAUCUGAGGAAUAUGUGACAUCUACUCAGGGACCACAGAAUACACAGAGGUGUCCUGAUAAAAUAAUAAUGGGCAAGCCCUCCUCCCAGAAUUCCUACAGGGAAGACUUACCAUCCCCCUAGACAGGGAUUAGAGCUAAUAAAUCAGGAAUCAGGAUGUAGGAUAGAUACA